ensembl:lncRNA
AGCGGGGCGGGGCCCGGGGGCAAGAUGGCGGCCUCGCGGCGAGGGAGAACUUCUGCCACGGUGCUCUCGUCGCUCCCUCUGCAGGCGCUGCUCCAUCUGAGUGGGGCGUGUUACUCUCUUUACUUCCUGGCCACGCUCCUGCUGAUCGCGUAUAAAAGCCAAGUUUUCACCUAUCCUCACGGCUUCCUGGUCCUUGACCUGACUCUGCUCUUCCUGAUGGGGAUUCUGGAAGCAACGCGGCUGUACCUCGGUGAGUUCUCUGAAAAGCACGUGGCACUUGGAGCGACAGGAUCGCCAGCUUUACGUGUGAACCUUUAAGCAUCUGUCACUUGGAACACGGUUCUUAGAAACACGUGAUGUAGCCUCGCCUCACAGGGUCUUUCCGUCUGUCUGUCCCUCUUUGUCCACAAGACAGUCUCGGCAGCAUCCUUGGCGGAGGUGCUUCCCGUGUGUACAUGCUGCCGGGUAACGGGCAGCACCAAGACUAGACCGCAGCUCCGCCAUCAACUCUGGAGCCCCCAGAGAGUCACCUCACUCCUCCUGCCUCUUCUGUUGGCCGCAGGGUCAAGAGGAGAAGGAUCUGGGGAGGCCCCAUCGUGGCGCAGACACAAACCCCAUUAGGGAUCCAUGAGGAUGAGGGUUCGAUCCCUGGCCUCGCUCAGUGGGUUAAGGAUCCGGCGUUGCCAUGAGCUGCGGUGUAGGUCGCAGACGCGGCUCAGACCCCACGUGGCUGUGGCUGUGGUGUAGGCCGGCGGCUGCAGCUCCGAUUGGACCCCUGGCCUGGGAACCUCCCUCUGCCGGGGGUGCGCUUAGAAAAAAUCAGGAAUGUUACAGCCUCAGUACAGACAACACGCUCCUCCUUGCAUUUGCCUUCUGACACGCUCAGAGCCCGCGCGGUGGCCACAGCAGCUUUUCCGUGGAAGUCCUCGAGUGUCGUGGGGUGCUAGUGAGCUGGCCCUGGUCCCCCGGUCAAGUCUCCAGAGCCCUCGCCAGCACAGGCUCCCAAAGGCAGCACUCACCCGUCCUGUCUGUUCUCUCCAGGCACCAAGGGCAACCUGACGGAGGCCGAGGUGCCGCUGGCCGCCAGCCUGGUCCUGACUGUGGGCGGCACCCUGCUGGCCAUCUACUUCCUGCUCUGGCAGACCCUGGUGCUGCGGGCAGACUGGGUCCUUGGCGCCACGCUCCUGGUGCUCCAUGGCCUGGAGGCCGUCCUGCAGGUGGUGGCCAUCGCCGGCUUUGUCAGCUAGGCCCCUGCGGCAGCCCCGGCCAGGAGCCCUUCCUGAGGGUGAGACGGCCUGCCAGCCGUUGCCCAGGGGGAGGGCGUCCUUCUGCUGAUGCGCCAUGACCUUGGAGGGCCUGGCGGCUUGGGUGAUCUCUGAGUCCUUGAGGCGGAGAUGGGCUCAGGAGCCAGGGCAGAGCAAAAUGCUGGGGCAGGCGGGGGCCCAGCGGAAGCCGGGACUGCCCGGGCGUCCUCCUCAGGAAGCGCAGGCCCCGCUUGGCUGGCAGGACCUCCAUUCAGCAACCGCCCUGCCCCCUGGGCCGGAAGGCAGCGAGGGGCCGGGGACGAGCCCCGGGCAGACGCUGCUCUGCCUCUUCCACGAGAGAGUAAUGCCAGAGAGCCAGGGCUUCUUCCCCCCGGGGACACAGGAAAGGCGAGCUUGAAGCGCCAGUGCCCAGGGGACAGAGCGCCUCCCUCAGCAGGACGUUGGCCCUGGGCACCGGGGACUUCGCCAGGGGGACCUUUGCCCACUCACAGACCCACUCCAGUGCCUCUGGAAGAAACCUGAGCUGAUGUUUUCUGGCAACUUUCAUUUGUUUCAGUUGUACAUUUUCUGUGUUUGGAAUAAUACCGUGUUUGAAUAUCUAGACAUUUUCUCUUCACUGUAGUUUUUAAAUAAAGCGUUUAUCCUUCCC